ACAGUGGGAAAAAUUGAUCAGGCUAAGGCACAAGGAUGCAGAGGCUGCUAAUGGAUUCAGAAAAAAAUAUCCUCACUGAGGAUCUUGCAUAAUUUUGCAUACAUAACUGGAUUAUCUCUAUAUACUAUUAAAGGCGAUAAAAAAAUUGUUUCUAUGACAACAAAUUCAAAUCUAGCUUGAGAGGAUAGAGCACAAACCAGUGAAAACCAAGAUUAAGAACACAAAUACUAAGAAAGUGAACUAAAGCAUGAGUAGGUAGUUGAUGCCCUGCUCGGCUUGUUCUAUCUAUUCACGCAAGAAAUUAUGAGCAUAGAAAAAUUAAAUUAGACCCACAAAGUAAAUUUGUUUUACUUAGCUUUCAAAAAAAAUGUUAUACUUCCCUUGAUCUUAAGUACCCAGUUUUACGAUGACCAUCUCCUGUAAAAUUCUGUGCUCCAAGCU
rnacentral:rRNA from 1 species